ACGCUCGACACCUACGGGGGCAGCAGUGGGGAAUAUUGCACAAAUGGGGGAAACCCUGAUGCAGCGACGCCGCGUGAGCGAAGAAGUAUUUCGGUAUGUAAAGCUCUAUCAGCAGGGAAGAAACUGACGGUACCUGACUAAGAAGCACCGGCUAAAUACGUGCCAGCACGCCGGACGGUUAAUCUGGAGGCGGGCGUGGACGAAGGC
rnacentral:rRNA from 1 species